CGGGCCGCACAAGCGGUGAGUAUGUGGUUUAAUUCGAUGCAACGCGAAGAACCUUACUGGUCUUGACAUCCCGGAGACCCUUAGGAAACUAGGGGUGCUUCCAUCUGGAAGAAUCUGGAGACAGGUGCUGCAUGGCUGUCGUCAGCUCGUGUCGUGAGAUGUUGGGUUAAGUCCCGCAACGAGCGCAACCCUUGCCUUUAGUUGCCAGCAGUUCGGCUGGGCACUCUAAAGGGACUGCCGGUGUUAAACCGGAGGAAGGUGGGGAUGACGUCAAGUCCUCAUGGCCUUUAUGACCAGGGCUACACACGUACUACAAUGGCCGAUACAAAGGGCAGCGACACUGCGAGGUGAAGCCAAUCCCGUAAAAUCGGUCUCAGUCCGGAUUGGAGUCUGCAACUCGACUCCAUGAAGUUGGAAUCGCUAGUAAUCGUGGAUCAGCAUGCCACGGUGAAUACGUUCCCGGGCCUU
rnacentral:rRNA from 1 species